rnacentral:snRNA from 1 species
CUAAGCAUGGCCCCUGCGCAAGGAUGACAUGCAAAUUUGUGAAGCGUUCCUUUUUUUU